rnacentral:rRNA from 1 species
UACAGAGGUCUCAAGCGUUGUUCGGAUUCAUUGGGCGUAAAGGGUGCGUAGGCGGCGCGGUAAGUCGGGUGUGAAAUUUCGAGGCUUAACUUCGAAACUGCAUUCGAUACUGCCGUGCUUGAGGACUUGAGAGGAGACUGGAAUUUACGGUGUAGCGGUGAAAUGCGUAGAUAUCGAUAAGGAAGACCAGUGGCGAAGGCGGGUCUCUGGACAGUUCCUGACGCUGAGGCACGAAGGCCAGGGGAGCAAACGGG